UAAAGUCUUGUAAUUGGAAUGAUGGGAAUUUAAACCUCUUCCAGAGUAUCAAUUGGAGGGCAAGUCUGGUGCCAGCAGCCGCGGUAAUUCCAGCUCCAAUAGCGUAUAUUAAAAUUGUCGCAGUUAAAAAGCUCGUAGUUGAAUUUCUGCUGCAUUGCUUGUGUCCCUCUGGGGUCUGUGCAUGUGGCUUUUUUCGGACGGAGUUUCUUUGUCUGAAUGUUUACUUUGAGAAAAUUAGAGUGCUCAAAGCAGGCUUUCGCCUUGAAUAGUUUAGCAUGGAAUAAUAAAGUAGGACUUUGGUUCUAUUUUGUUGGUUUUAGGUACCAAAGUAAUGGUUAAUAGGAACAGUUGGGGGCAUUCGUAUUUAACUGUCAGAGGUGAAAUUCUUA
rnacentral:rRNA from 1 species